AGAUGGAGUGUUGCUCUGCCACCAGGCUGAGUGCAGUGGCACAAUCUUGGCUCACCACAAGCUCUGCCUCCCGGGUUCAAGCGAUUCUCCUGCCUUAGCCUCCCAAGUAGUUGGGACUAUAGGCGCGCGCCACAACACCUGGCUAAUUUUUGUAUUUUUAGUAGAGACGGGGUUUCACCAUGUUGCCGAAGAUGGUCUCGAUCUCCUGACCUCACGAUCCACCCACCUCGGUCUCCCAAAGUGCUAGGAUUACAGGCGUGAGCCACUGCGCCCGGCCUCAGCUAUUUCUUUAUAGCAAUGUGAAAACUAAUACAGAGGCCCAGGUAGGAGGAUCGCCUUGAGGGCAGGAGUUCAAGACCAGCCUCGGCAACACAGCUAGACCCCACGUCCACAAAACAAAAAAAAUAGCCAGGCAUGGUGGCACAUGCCUGUAGUCCUAGCUACCUGGGAGGCUGAGGUGGAAGGAUCACUUGAGCCCAGGAAUUCAAGGUUGUAGUGAGCUAUGAUCAUAUCACUGCACUUCAGCCUGGGCGACAGAACAAAAACUCUGCGACUGCCUGUGGCUGUGCAGCCAACCUGCUCAGAAGGAGCUGGGUGGCCCACUGUGCGAACCCCGCCGGCUCCACAUGGCAGGUGAAAUGCACUGGUUUAGAACUUCUGAUGUCUUUCAAACCACUCUAGCCAGUAUAGCCCCAGUAUUUACCAUGACAAAAUUUGACAGAGAAAUGUUACUUCUUUUGAAAGGAAGAAAACUGAGUUAUACCAAGAGUUAGGUCUUCAAGCCAGAGAUUUGAGAUUUCACUAUGUAAUGAGUAUCACAGCCAGAAAUAAUAUGAUUAUCAUGAGAAUGGAGUAUUUGAAAGCUGAGAUAACUCCAGAGUGUCUUCUGAUAUUAGAUUAUCAUAAUUUAAACUCACAGCGAUGGCUGUUCCGGGAACUCUCUUCACAAUUGUCUGGAGAGGGUCAACUUGUUAGAAACCCUUUAAUUUUUUGAGUUUAGAGCUAUAGAAGCACUCCUGCAAUACUGGAUCAACACCCUUCAGGGGAAACUUAGCCUUUUCCAGCCACUGAUCCUCAAGACGCUGGAAGCUUUGGUGGACCCCAAACAUUCUUCUAUAGACAGAAGCAAACUCCACAUUUUACUACAGAAUGGCAAAAGUCUAUUAGAGUUAGAAACAGAUAUUAAAAUUUUCAGAGUCAAUUUUGGAGAUCCUGGAUGAGAAAGAGUUGCUAGAAGAGCUCUAUCAAAAUGGAGUGACCCCCGAGUCUUUGAAAAGAGCAGUACUGGGACUGACCAUGCAGAGGAGAUAGAGUUGCUGAUGGAAAACUACUACCGACUAGCUGACGAUGUCUCCAAUGCAGCUUAGGAGCUUACGGUACUGACUGAUGAUUCACAAAGUAUUAUUUUCAUCAAUCUGGACAGCCACUGUAACGUGAUAAUGAAGUUGAAUCUACAGCUGACCAUAAGAACCUUCUCUCUUUCGCUCUUUGGAGUAAUGGAAGUUGCUUUUGGAAUGAGUUUGGAAUCUUCCCUUGAAGAGGCCCAUGGAGUGUUUUGACUGAUUACAGGAAUUAUGUUCAUGGGAAGUGGCUCAGCUGGAGGCGCCUGCUUUCAUUCCUUGGACAACAGCUAGAAGCUCCAUUGCCUCCUAUGAUAGCCUCCUUACCUAAAAAGAUUCUUCUGGCAGAUAGAAGCGUGGAACAAAGAACAGUCUCAGACCUGAUGCACUUGGAUCAGGCAGGAGUAUCCUAACAAACCAUGAGGAACAACCCUAUGGACACUGAAGUUUUUUGUUUUUUUUUUGUUUUUUUUUUUUUUUAUAAUCACAGUUAACUUCUGAUACUUUUAUUAUUUUCUUGUAUGGAGUCAGACACUUGAAAAAAAUUAAUAUCUGAUGACAAAAUAUUUUGGCAGUCACAAUACUAGAACUUGAUUGCAUUUCCAGAAUUCUGAGUUAAAGAAACAAAGUGUUUGCUUUGUAACAGGCCAAAAUUCUAUUUCCUGCAAACUUUAAAUGCUGUUUUUAUAGACAUGAUGUGAGGCAACAGAAGAACAGACAGUUGUAUAGAUUUUAUUUAAUUUAUACAUAACAAGAAAAGUAUAAUUUCAGGCUGAAUGAAGCCUAGGAGCUUGACAAACCCAUAGGAAGCCAUAGUUCUUUGUUACCACAGGGAAUUACGUCCAAGUGAAUUUCCUGAUUCUCAGGUGACUAAAAAGCUAGCACUCUAUGUAUUAACCUUAAAACAAACUCUGAAAGUUUAUGCUUUAAAAAACAAACUUUGACAUAACAUUAUUUUCUUAGAUUUGGCCCCCCUUUUAUAUAAGAUGAAUAAAAAUAAAUAAUUUUUUUAAAAAGACCCAAAUGAACUUGUAUUAAAAGGAUUUGUAUCCAGAAUAUAAAAUCCAGGACAUAAAAAGAACACUAAAAACUCAGUGACAAAAAAACACAGUUUGAAAAAAAAUAAGCAGAAGAUUUAAACAGACACUUCAUCAAAGAAGAUACAAGGACAGCAAAUAAGCACAUGGAAAAAUACUCAACACCAUUAGUCAUUACAGAAAUGUAAACUGAAACCAUAAUGAAACACUAUUACACACCUAUUAGAAUGGCUAAAAUUAAAAUGACUGACAUUAAAUAUGGGCAAAAAUAUGAAGCAACUGGAACUUUCAUACACUGCCAGUGGAAAUAUAAAA